rnacentral:lncRNA from 1 species
CACUUCAUGCCGUUGGCUGCAACAAGCGCAAGCGCGCGAGCUGGGCCAGCCCAGGCUAGCCCAAUCGGCUCGCAGCACGCCUUUGUUUUAAUCGCGCAGGCUUUUUAUCCUGCGGCAAAAAAUCUGAUCCCACGAGCCUUCGAAGCUGCGACCAGACGCAACACAAGUAGGAGCGCUACCACUAGGCCAAGUCACCUUUGUU